GGUGUGUUCAGUAAAUGACAGGUGUGUUCAGUAGACGACAGGUGUGUUCAGUAAAUGACAGGUGUGUUCAGUAAGUGACAGGUGUGUUCAGUAAGUGACAGGUGUGUUCAGUACGCGACAGGUGUGUUCAGUAAGUGACAGGUGUGUUCAGUACGUGCCAGGUGUGUUCAGUAAGUGACAGGUGUGUUCAGUACAUGACAGGUGUAUUCAGUAAGUGACAAGUGUGUUCAGUAGACACCAAGUGUGUUCAGUAAGUGACAGGUGUGUUCAGUAAGUGACAGGUGUGUUCAGUAAGUGACAGGUGUGUUCAGUACGUGACAGGUGUGUUCAGUACGUGACAGGUGUGUUCAGUACGUGACAGGUGUGUUCAGUACGCGACAGGUGUGUUCAGUACGUGACAGGUGUGUUCAGUACAUGACAGGUGUGUUCAAUAAGUGACAGGUGUGUUCAGUAAGUGACAGGUGUGUUCAGUAAGUGACAGGUGUUUUCAGUACGUGACAGGUGUGUUCAGUAAGUGACAGGUGUGUUCAAUAAGUGACAGGUGUGUUCAGUACGUGCCAGGUGUGUUCAGUACGUGACAGGUGUGUUCAGUACGUGACAGGUGUGUUCAGUACGUGACAGGUGUGUUCAGUACGUGACAGGUGUGUUCAGUAGAUGACAGGUGUGUUCAGUAAGUGACAGGUGUUUUCAGUACGUGACAGGUGUGUUCAGUACGUGCCAGGUGUGUUCAGUAAGUGCCAGGUGUGUUCAGUACGUGCCAGGUGUGUUCAGUAAGUGACAGGUGUGUUCAGUACGUGCCAGGUGUGUUCAGUAAGUGACAGGUGUGUUCAGUACGUGCCAGGUGUGUUCAGUACGUGCCAGCCACACUCGUUGCUGACAGGUGUAUAAAACCGAGCACACCGCCAUGCAAUCUCCAUAGACAAACAUUGUUAGUAGAAUGGCUCGUACUGAAGAGCUCA
rnacentral:lncRNA from 1 species